UCCGGUACUCGCCGAAUGCAUCUCNGAUUAUAGUUUGAUCCUGGCUCAGAGUGAACGCUGGCGGUAGGCCUAACACAUGCAAGUCGAACGGCAGCACAGGAGAGCUUGCUCUCUGGGUGGCGAGUGGCGGACGGGUGAGGAAUACAUCGGAAUCUACUCUGUCGUGGGGGAUAACGUAGGGAAACUUACGCUAAUACCGCAUACGACCUACGGGUGAAAGCGGGGGAUCUUCGGACCUUGCGCGAUUGAAUGAGCCGAUGUCGGAUUAGCUAGUUGGCGGGGUAAAGGCCCACCAAGGCGACGAUCCGUAGCUGGUCUGAGAGGAUGAUCAGCCACACUGGAACUGAGACACGGUCCAGACUCCUACGGGAGGCAGCAGUGGGGAAUAUUGGACAUGGGGCCU
rnacentral:rRNA from 1 species